rnacentral:rRNA from 1 species
GCAGUCGAACGGGAUUGUUGACUUCGGUUGACAUGAGAGUGGCGCACGGGUGCGUAACGCGUAUGCAACCUACCUUAUACAGGGGGAUAGCCCGGGGAAACCCGGAUUAAUACCCCAUGGUAUAUAUUGAUCGCAUGGUUAGUAUAUUAAAGAUUUAUCGGUAUAAGACGGGCAUGCGUAGGAUUAGCUAGUUGGUAAGGUAACGGCUUACCAAGGCGAUGAUCCUUAGGGGUUCUGAGAGGAAGGUCCCCCACACUGGCACUGAGAUACGGGCCAGACUCCUACGGGAGGCAGCAGUAGGGAAUAUUGGUCAAUGGGCGGGAGCCUGAACCAGCCAUGCCGCGUGCAGGAAGACGGCCUAUUGGGUUGUAAACUGCUUUUGUACGGGAAGAAAACGCCCCUGCGGGGGAGAUUGCCGGUACCGUACGAAUAAGCACCGGCUAACUCCGUGCCAGCAGCCGCGGUAAUACGGAGGGUGCAAGCGUUGUCCGGAUUUAUUGGGUUUAAAGGGUGCGUAGGCGGCCGAUUAAGUCAGCGGUGAAAGUUUCCGGCUCAACCGGGAGACUGCCGUUGAUACUGGUUGGCUUGAGUUAUGGAGGGGUACAUGGAAUUUAUGGUGUAGCGGUGAAAUGCAUAGAUACCAUAAGGAACACCGAUAGCGAAGGCAUUGUACCGGCCAUAAACUGACGCUGAGGCACGAA